rnacentral:rRNA from 1 species
UGGGGAAUAUUGGACAAUGGGCGAAAGCCUGAUCCAGCAAUGCCGCGUGAGUGAUGAAGGCCUUAGGGUUGUAAAGCUCUUUUACCAGGGAUGAUAAUGACAGUACCUGGAGAAUAAGCUCCGGCUAACUCCGUGCCAGCAGCCGCGGUAAUACGGAGGGUCCGAGCGUUAUCCGGAAUCAUUGGGUUUAAAGGGUCCGUAGGCGGGCCGUUAAGUCAGGGGUGAAAGUCUGCGGCUCAACCGUAGAAUUGCCUUUGAUACUGGCGGUCUUGAGUCAUGGUGGGGUUGCCGGAACAUGUGGUGUAGCGGUGAAAUGCAUAGAUAUCACAUAGAACACCGAUCGCGAAGGCAGGUGACCAACCAUGUACUGACGCUGAUGGACGAAAGCGUGGGUAGCGGACGGGAUUAGAUACCCCGGUAGUCCACGCCGUAAACGAUGGAUACUAGCUGUGGGGACUUCGGUCUCCGUGGCCAAGCGAAAGUGAUAAGUAUCCCACCUGGGGAGUACGUUCGCAAGAAUG